rnacentral:rRNA from 1 species
UUGCUUGUUNUCAAAGAUUAAGCCAUGCAUGUCUAAGUACAGGCCUACCCAAGGCGAAACCGCAAAAGGCUCAUUAAAUCAGUCAUGAUUCAAUGGAUGUUGUUAUAAACUUUUACUUGGAUAACUGUGGUAAUUCUAGAGCUAAUACGUGCAAUCGAGCUCCGACCCUGCCGUCAAAGGCGGGGGAAGGGCGCUUUUAUUAGAUUCAAAACCGAGCGGACUGCGGUCCGUCUCCCAUAAAGAGCUGUGAUGACUCUGAAUAACCUAGCCGAGCGCUGAGGCCUUCGAGCCGGCGCCGUAUCCUACGAGUGUCUGCCUUAUCAGCUGUCGAUUGUAGGUUAUACGCCUACAAUGGCUGUAACGGGUAACGGGGAAUCGGGGUUCGAUUCCGGAGAGGGAGCCUGAGAAACGGCUACCACAUCUAAGGAAGGCAGCAGGCACGCAAAUUACCCACUCCCGGCACGGGGAGGUAGUGACGAAAAAUAACGAUGCGGGACUCUUCCGAGGCCUCGCAAUCGGAAUGAGUUUACCCUAAACACUUGGACGAGGAUCCAUUGGAGGGCAAGUCUGGUGCCAGCAGCCGCGGUAAUUCCAGCUCCAAUAGCGUAUAUUAAAGUUGUUGNNNNNNNNNNNUUUAGAGUGGCUCAAAGCAGGCAAUAACUAACGCCUGAAUGUCGAUGCAUGGAAUGAAGGAACAGGACCUCGGUUCUGCAUUUUUUCUCGGUUUUCCGAACCCGAGGUAAUGAUUAACGGGAACGGACGGGGGCAUUAGUAUUGCGACGCUAGAGGUGAAAUUCUUGGACCGUCGCAAGACUAACUACUGCGAAAGCAUUUGCCAAGAACGCUUUCAUUAGUCAAGAACGAAAGUUAGAGGAUCGAAGGCGAUCAGAUACCGCCCUAGUUCUAACCUUAAACGAUGCUAACUGGCGAUCCGCUUACGUCAUUCCCACGACUGAGCGGGGAGCCCCCGGGAAACCAAAGUCUUUGAGUUCCGGGGGAAGUAUGGUUGCAAAGCUGAAACUUAAAGGAAUUGACGGAAGGGCACCACCAGGAGUGGAGCCUGCGGCUUAAUUUGACUCAACACGGGGAACCUCACCAGGCCCGGACACCGGAAGGAUUGACAGAUUGAGAGCUCUUUCUCGAUUCGGUGGGUGGUGGUGCAUGGCCGUUCUUAGUUGGUGGAGCGAUCUGUCUGGUUGAUUCCGAUAACGAACGAGACUCUACCCUGCUAACUAGUCGGUGGAUCGUCUCCCGAGACGGGUCCUACCCGGGGCGUUUUGGCGUGUGGGGCGGCCUUCCGUCCGCGGCGUUCUUCCGUUCGCGCUUGGCUUGUUACCGGCGUCGUCCGUCGCCUUCUCCCAAUGUCGUCGCCGCCGGCGCUCGCGUUUCCCUUCACGGGGUUACGCGGGUUAGUCGACGGGGGCGGCUUGGGGGUGGGAAUCACGGCUGGCUGGCGUCGGGGCUCCAGGACGUGUAGCGGGCCAAAAGGCGUCGCGGGUCGCGGGAUGGUCGCGCCCGCGUCGGGGUUCCGUGCGUAGGGCCCAGCGAGGGGCGUCCAUCGCAGCAUCUUCUUAGAGGGAUCGGCGGCGUCCAGCCGCACGAGAGAGAGCAAUAACAGGUCUGUGAUGCCCUUAGAUGUUCUGGGCCGCACGCGCGCUACAAUGAAGGGAUCAGCGUGCUCUCCCCCUCCGAAAGGAGCGGGUAACCCGAUGAAACCCCUUCCCGAUUGGGAUUGGGGAUUGUAAGUGUUUCCCAUGAACGAGGAAUUCCCAGUAAGCGCAAAGUCAUCAGCUUGCGAUGAUUACGUCCCUGCCCUUUGUACACACCGCCCGUCGCUACUACCGAUUGGAAUGAUUCAGUGAGGGCAUCC